GCUUACGGCCAUACCACCCUGAGCGUGCCUGAUCUUGUGUGAUCUCAGAAGCUAACCAGGGUUGGGCCUGGUUAGAACUUGGAUGGGAGACCGAAUAACAGGUGCUGUAAGUU
ensembl:rRNA 5S_rRNA 5S ribosomal RNA